AAUGAACGUUGGCGGCAUGGAUUAGGCAUGCAAGUCGAGCGAGAAGGGUUUUGAAGCUUGCUUUGAAACCCGGAAAGCGGCGCAAGGGAGAGUAACGAGUAGUUAUCUACCCCAAGGCCCGGAAUAGCUGCGGGAAACUGCAGGUAAUGCCGGAUAAUAUCCCCGGAUCAAAGGUGUGAUUCCGCCUUGGGAGGAGACUGCUUUGUACUAGCUAGUUGGUAGGGUAAUGGCCUACCAAGGCUACGAUGCAUAGCGGGCGGGAGAGCGUGGCCCGUCUCACUGGGACUGAAACACUGCCCAGACACCUAAGGGUGGCUGCAGUCGAGAAUCUUCGGCAAUGGGCGAAAGCCUGACCGAGCGAUGCCGCGUGCGGGAUGAAGGCCCUCGGGUUGUAAACCGCUGUCGUAGAGGAGAAAGGUCUGAUGAAGAAUCAGAUUUGAUCUAUUCUAGGAGGAAGUCCGGGCUAAGUUCGUGCCAGCAGCCGCCGUAA
rnacentral:rRNA from 1 species